AUUUAUAUAUGAACACUUUUCUGGGGUCUCAGUGCAUUCCGUCACCGACACCGACACCGACACCAUUAAUUUGCCACGACAUGGCGGCCGUUGAAGCUCGCUGCCGUGUCCCACGGCUUCUGUUGUUAGUAGUAGUAGUAGUACUAGUUGUGUUUGAGUUUAUUCUGUAUGCGGAGUCCAAGUACGUGCAGUACAAUACGACGUCGGGGCUUGUCGCCGGGAAGCUGAACGUGCAUUGGUCCCUCACAGCCACGACGACGUGGGAUGGUUGAAGACCAUCGAUCAGUACUACGUUGGCUCCAAUAAUUCCAUUCAGGGAGCUUGCGUUCAGAACGUGCUGGAUUCUCUGGUUCCGGCAUUGUUGGCCGAUAAGAACCGCAAGUUCAUAUAUGUUGAGCAGGCUUUUUUCCAACGUUGGUGGAGAGAGCAGAGCGAGGGGACUCAGAACAUAGUGAAACAGCUAGUCAACGACGGUCAACUUGAACUCAUAAAUGGGGGGAUGUGCAUGCACGAUGAGGCUGCUACUCAUUACAUUGACAUGAUUGAUCAGACGACUCUCGGGCAUCGGUUUAUCAAACAAGAGUUCAAUGUGACUCCGAGGAUUGGAUGGCAGAUCGACCCGUUUGGACAUUCUGCAGUGCAGGCUUACCUGUUGGGAGCUGAGGUUGGAUUCGACUCUCUUUUCUUUGCAAGAAUCGACUACCAAGACAGAGCUAAACGGAUGGUUGACAAAAGCCUCGAGGUUGUCUGGCGGGGUUCUAAGAGUCUCGGUUCAUCUGCA